rnacentral:rRNA from 1 species
UACGUAGGGGGCAAGCGUUGUCCGGAUUUAUUGGGCGUAAAGAGCGUGUAGGCGGCCAUACAGGUCCGUUGUGAAAACUGGAGGCUUAACCUCCAGACGUCGAUGGAAACCGUAUGGCUAGAGUCCGGAAGAGGAGAGUGGAAUUCCUUGUGUAGCGGUGAAAUGCGCAGAUAUCAGGAAGAACACCCGUGGCGAAGGCGGCUCUCUGGGACGGUACUGACGCUGAGACGCGAAAGCGUGGGGAGCGAACAGG